GUUUUGGAGUGCAGGCGUGAAUAGUCCUUUCUGUCCUGCUUUGAGUACUGCUGUUGGGUGCCUUGGGGGGACCUUAAGGGAGCUCGGAAGUUGAGACGUGGUGAGUGCGAGAUCACUGCCCACAAAGGGGAGGAGCAGGCGGAUGAACAGCCAGAGCUGCAAUGGUGGAUCCUCCUCCAGGGCUGCAUGGGACGACAGAUAGAUGAGGCUCUAGGACGGGCACAAAUGCUACCCGAAUGCAAACCACUCCGGAGAUCUGUAAAAGGACUGGCCCCGGACAGGAAGCACACUUUAAACUAGAGGCGGGAGUCAAAGCCCCGGUGAAGAUUCUGUGACGGUUCAUUGUAUAAUUUAUGAUGAUGAAGAUUGAGUUGCAUUUUGCGGAAAAGAGAUGUUGAGAUAUCUAAGGCAUUGAGAAAUCUGUCAUGCAGACAUGCACACAGGGAGAGGGAGUACCCAAACUGAUGAGAACUUACAGGAAUUGGACCAUCUAAGCCCUUAGAAAGUGAAGUCCACUGUGUCUCAAACAAAGAUCUUCAUCCACAUCUUGAAGUUUGAAGUUUGGCCAAGAAUAUACAAAAUAGAUUCUCUUUCUCAGGAUGGCAAGUGUUCAUGACAUCAAUACUACCCAAGGCUUCAGAGUCAUUGGAUUGCAGGUGUCUCUAUGGUUUCAAUUCAGCACUAUUCCAUCCAUCUUUUGGCAGAGUCAGAGCCCCGGUGAAGAUUCUGUGAGAGUUCAUUGUAUUGAAUUUAUGAUGAUGAAGAUUGAGUUGCAUUUUGCGGAAAAGAGAUGUUGAGAUACCUAAGGCAUUGAGAAAUCUGUCAUGCAGACAUGCACACAGGGAGAGGGAGUACCCAAAAUGAUGAGAAGUUACAGGAAUUGGACCAUCUAAGCCCUUAGAAAGUGAAGUCCACUGUGUCUCAAACAAAGGAUGGCAAGUGUUCAUGACAUCAAUACUACCCAAGGCUUCAGAGUCAUUGGAUUGCAG
rnacentral:lncRNA from 1 species